GAUGAACGCUGGCGGCGUGCCUAAUACAUGCAAGUCGAGCGAACAGAUGAGGAGCUUGCUCCUCUGACGUUAGCGGCGGACGGGUGAGUAACACGUGGAUAACCUACCUAUAAGACUGGGAUAACUUCGGGAAACCGGAGCUAAUACCGGAUAAUAUAUUGAUCCGCAUGGUUCAAUAGUGAAAGACGGUUUUGCUGUCACUUAUAGAUGGAUCCGCGCCGCAUUAGCUAGUUGGUAAGGUAACGGCUUACCAAGGCGACGAUGCGUAGCCGACCUGUGAGGGUGAUCGGCCACACUGGAACUGAGACACGGUCCAGACUCCUACGAGAGGCAGCAGUAGGGAAUCUUCCGCAAUGGGCGAAAGCCUGACGGAGCAACGCCGCGUGAGUGAUGAAAGUCUUCGGAUCGUAAGACUCUGUUAUUAGGGAAGAACAAAUGUGUAAGUAACUAUGCACGUCUUGACGGUACCUAAUCAGAAAGCCACGGCUAACUACGUG
rnacentral:rRNA from 1 species